GAUGAACGCUGGCGGCGUGCCUAAUACAUGCAAGUCGAGCGAACAGACGAGGAGCUUGCUCCUCUGACGUUAGCGGCGGACGGGUGAGUAACACGUGGAUAACCUACCUAUAAGACUGGGAUAACUUCGGGAAACCGGAGCUAAUACCGGAUAAUAUAUUGAACCGCAUGGUUCAAUAGUGAAAGACGGUUUUGCUGUCACUUAUAGAUGGAUCCGCGCCGCAUUAGCUAGUUGGUAAGGUAACGGCUUACCAAGGCAACGAUGCGUAGCCGACCUGAGAGGGUGAGCGGCCACACUGGAACUGAGACACGGUCCAGACUCCUACGGGAGGCAGCAGUAGGGAAUCUGCCGCAAUGGGCGAAAGCUUGACGGAGCAACGCCGCGUGAGUGAUGAAGGUCUUCGGAUCGUAAAACUCUGUUAUUAGGGAAGAACAAAUGUGUAAGUAACUAUGCACGUCUUGACGGUACCUAAUCAGAAAGCCACGGCUAACUACGUG
rnacentral:rRNA from 1 species